AGGUUAAGCGACUAAGCGUACACGGUGGAUGCCCUGGCAGUCAGAGGCGAUGAAGGACGUGCUAAUCUGCGAUAAGCGUCGGUAAGGUGAUAUGAACCGUUAUAACCGGCGAUUUCCGAAUGGGGAAACCCAGUGUGUUUCGACACACUAUCAUUAACUGAAUCCAUAGGUUAAUGAGGCGAACCGGGGGAACUGAAACAUCUAAGUACCCCGAGGAAAAGAAAUCAACCGAGAUUCCCCCAGUAGCGGCGAGCGAACGGGGAGGAGCCCAGAGUCUGAAUCAGUGUGUGUGUUAGUGGAAGCGUCUGGAAAGGCGCGCGAUACAGGGUGACAGCCCCGUACACAAAAAUGCACAUAUUGUGAGCUCGAUGAGUAGGGCGGGACACGUGGUAUCCUGUCUGAAUAUGGGGGGACCAUCCUCCAAGGCUAAAUACUCCUGACUGACCGAUAGUGAACCAGUACCGUGAGGGAAAGGCGAAAAGAACCCCGGCGAGGGGAGUGAAAAAGAACCUGAAACCGUGUACGUACAAGCAGUGGGAGCACGCUUAGGCGUGUGACUGCGUACCUUUUGUAUAAUGGGUCAGCGACUUAUAUUCUGUAGCAAGGUUAACCGAAUAGGGGAGCCGAAGGGAAACCGAGUCUUAACUGGGCGUUAAGUUGCAGGGUAUAGACCCGAAACCCGGUGAUCUAGCCAUGGGCAGGUUGAAGGUUGGGUAACACUAACUGGAGGACCGAACCGACUAAUGUUGAAAAAUUAGCGGAUGACUUGUGGCUGGGGGUGAAAGGCCAAUCAAACCGGGAGAUAGCUGGUUCUCCCCGAAAGCUAUUUAGGUAGCGCCUCGUGAACUCAUCUCCGGGGGUAGAGCACUGUUUCGGCAAGGGGGUCAUCCCGACUUACCAACCCGAUGCAAACUGCGAAUACCGGAGAAUGUUAUCACGGGAGACACACGGCGGGUGCUAACGUCCGUCGUGAAGAGGGAAACAACCCAGACCGCCAGCUAAGGUCCCAAAGUCAUGGUUAAGUGGGAAACGAUGUGGGAAGGCCCAGACAGCCAGGAUGUUGGCUUAGAAGCAGCCAUCAUUUAAAGAAAGCGUAAUAGCUCACUGGUCGAGUCGGCCUGCGCGGAAGAUGUAACGGGGCUAAACCAUGCACCGAAGCUGCGGCAGCGACGCUUAUGCGUUGUUGGGUAGGGGAGCGUUCUGUAAGCCUGCGAAGGUGUGCUGUGAGGCAUGCUGGAGGUAUCAGAAGUGCGAAUGCUGACAUAAGUAACGAUAAAGCGGGUGAAAAGCCCGCUCGCCGGAAGACCAAGGGUUCCUGUCCAACGUUAAUCGGGGCAGGGUGAGUCGACCCCUAAGGCGAGGCCGAAAGGCGUAGUCGAUGGGAAACAGGUUAAUAUUCCUGUACUUGGUGUUACUGCGAAGGGGGGACGGAGAAGGCUAUGUUGGCCGGGCGACGGUUGUCCCGGUUUAAGCGUGUAGGCUGGUUUUCCAGGCAAAUCCGGAAAAUCAAGGCUGAGGCGUGAUGACGAGGCACUACGGUGCUGAAGCAACAAAUGCCCUGCUUCCAGGAAAAGCCUCUAAGCAUCAGGUAACAUCAAAUCGUACCCCAAACCGACACAGGUGGUCAGGUAGAGAAUACCAAGGCGCUUGAGAGAACUCGGGUGAAGGAACUAGGCAAAAUGGUGCCGUAACUUCGGGAGAAGGCACGCUGAUAUGUAGGUGAAGCGACUUGCUCGUGGAGCUGAAAUCAGUCGAAGAUACCAGCUGGCUGCAACUGUUUAUUAAAAACACAGCACUGUGCAAACACGAAAGUGGACGUAUACGGUGUGACGCCUGCCCGGUGCCGGAAGGUUAAUUGAUGGGGUCAGCGCAAGCGAAGCUCUUGAUCGAAGCCCCGGUAAACGGCGGCCGUAACUAUAACGGUCCUAAGGUAGCGAAAUUCCUUGUCGGGUAAGUUCCGACCUGCACGAAUGGCGUAAUGAUGGCCAGGCUGUCUCCACCCGAGACUCAGUGAAAUUGAACUCGCUGUGAAGAUGCAGUGUACCCGCGGCAAGACGGAAAGACCCCGUGAACCUUUACUAUAGCUUGACACUGAACAUUGAGCCUUGAUGUGUAGGAUAGGUGGGAGGCUUUGAAGUGUGGACGCCAGUCUGCAUGGAGCCGACCUUGAAAUACCACCCUUUAAUGUUUGAUGUUCUAACGUUGACCCCUAAUCGGGGUUGCGGACAGUGUCUGGUGGGUAGUUUGACUGGGGCGGUCUCCUCCUAAAGAGUAACGGAGGAGCACGAAGGUUGGCUAAUCCUGGUCGGACAUCAGGAGGUUAGUGCAAUGGCAUAAGCCAGCUUGACUGCGAGCGUGACGGCGCGAGCAGGUGCGAAAGCAGGUCAUAGUGAUCCGGUGGUUCUGAAUGGAAGGGCCAUCGCUCAACGGAUAAAAGGUACUCCGGGGAUAACAGGCUGAUACCGCCCAAGAGUUCAUAUCGACGGCGGUGUUUGGCACCUCGAUGUCGGCUCAUCACAUCCUGGGGCUGAAGUAGGUCCCAAGGGUAUGGCUGUUCGCCAUUUAAAGUGGUACGCGAGCUGGGUUUAGAACGUCGUGAGACAGUUCGGUCCCUAUCUGCCGUGGGCGCUGGAGAACUGAGGGGGGCUGCUCCUAGUACGAGAGGACCGGAGUGGACGCAUCACUGGUGUUCGGGUUGUCAUGCCAAUGGCACUGCCCGGUAGCUAAAUGCGGAAGAGAUAAGUGCUGAAAGCAUCUAAGCACGAAACUUGCCCCGAGAUGAGUUCUCCCUGACUCCUUGAGAGUCCUGAAGGAACGUUGAAGACGACGACGUUGAUAGGCCGGGUGUGUAAGCGCAGCGAUGCGUUGAGCUAACCGGUACUAAUGAACCGUGAGGCUUAACCU
rnacentral:rRNA from 1 species